AUAUCAAUAAGCGGAGGAAAAGAAACCAACUGGGAUUGCCCUAGUAGCGGCGAGCGAAGCGGCAACAGCUCAAAUUUGAAAUCUGGCCUCGGCCCGAGUUGUAAUUUGUAGAGGAUGCUUUUGGCGCGGCUCCUUCUGAGUCCACUGGAACGUGGCGCCACAGAGGGUGAGAGCCCCGUAUAGAUGGAAGCCAAGCCUGUGUAAAGCUCCUUCGACGAGUCGAGUAGUUUGGGAAUGCUGCUCUAAAUGGGAGGUAAAUGUCUUCUAAAGCUAAAUACCGGCCAGAGACCGAUAGCGCACAAGUAGAGUGAUCGAAAGAUGAAAAGCACUUUGAAAAGAGAGUUAAACAGUAUGUGAAAUUGUUGAAAGGGAAGCGCUUGCAACCAGACUUGAGCGCGGUGGUUCCCCCUGGCUUCUGCCCGGGCUACUCCGCCGCGUCCAGGCCAACAUCGGUUCUGGGGGCCGGUCAAAGGCCCCGGCAAUGUAUCUACCCCCGGGUAGACUUAUAGGCCGGGGUGUCAUGCGGCCUCCUGGGACCGAGGAACGCGCUCCGGCUCGGAUGUUGGCGUAAUGGUUGUCAGCGA
rnacentral:rRNA from 1 species